rnacentral:rRNA from 1 species
GAUGAACGCUAGCGGCAGGCUUAAUACAUGCAAGUCGUGGGGCAGCAUGAGUGUAGCAAUACAUUUGAUGGCGACCGGCAAACGGGUGCGGAACACGUACAGAACCCUCCUUCAAGCGGGGCAUAGCCCAGAGAAAUUUGGAUUAAUACCCCAUAAUAUAAUGAAGAGGCAUCUCUUUGUUAUUAAAGACUUAUCACUUGAAGAUGGCUGUGCGGCUGAUUAGGUAGUUGGCGGGGUAACGGCCCACCAAGCCUGCGAUCAGUAACUGGUGUGAGAGCACGACCAGUCACACGGGCACUGAGACACGGGCCCGACUCCUACGGGAGGCAGCAGUAAGGAAUAUUGGUCAAUGGACGCAAGUCUGAACCAGCCAUGCCGCGUGGAGGAUGAAGGUCCUCUGGAUUGUAAACUUCUUUUAUAUGGGACGAAAAAAGGCUUUUCUAAGUCGUCUGACGGUACCAUAUGAAUAAGCACCGGCUAACUCCGUGCCAGCCGCCGCGGUAAUAC